ensembl:misc_RNA Metazoa_SRP Metazoan signal recognition particle RNA
GCCGGGCAUGGUGGUGCACGCCUGUAAUCCCAGCUACUCAGGAGGCUGAGGCGGCAGAAUCGUUUGAACCCAGGAGGUAGAGGUUGCAGUGAGCCAAGAUCGUACCACUGCAUUUCCAGCCUGGGUGACAGAGCGAGACUCCGUCUCAA